GAUGAACGCUGGCGGCGUGCUUAACACAUGCAAGUCGAGCGAACAGACGAGCUUCUUGCUGCUCGCACGUGAGGGGCGGACGGGUGAGUAAAACGUGCAUACCCUGCCUAUAAGAAUGGCACAACUAAGGGAAACCUGAGACCAUAUCCGAUAAUAUAUUGAACCGCAUGGGUCAAUAGUGAAAGACGGUUUUGCUGUGCCUUAUAGAUGGUUACGCGCCGGAUUAGCUAGUUGGUAAGGUAACGGCUUACCAAGGCAAGGCUGCGUGGCCGACCUGAGAGGGUGAUGGGCCACACUGGAACUGAGACACGGCCCAGACUCCUACGGGAGGCAGCAGUAGGGAAUCUUCGACAAUGGGGGAAAGCCUGACGGAGCAACGCCGCGUGCGUGAUGAAGGUCUUCGGGUUGUAAAACGCUGUUGUUCGGGAAGAAAACAUGUGUAAGUAACUAUGCAGGUCUUGACGGUACCUGAACAGAAAGCCACGGCUAACUACGUG
rnacentral:rRNA from 1 species